rnacentral:rRNA from 1 species
ACUAAUAUAAAAUUUUUUUCCUUGUAUUAUUAAUAGUUAUAUUCUUUAAAAUAAAAAAAUUUGGCGGUAGUUUAUCUUAUUAGAGGAAUCUGUUUUUUAAUCGAUACAACACGUUAUAUCUUACUUAUUUUAAAGGUUUGUAUACCGUCAUGAAGAUUGGUUUAAAAAAAUUUAUUAAAAUUAAUAAUUUAAAUAAAUUAGAUCAAGGUGCAGCUUAUAAAUAAGUUAAAAUGGAUUACAAUAAUUAAAAAUUAUUUGGAUAAUUUUAUGAAAUUUAAGGUUUGAAAUAGGAUUUAAUAGUAUAGUUGCUAUAAUAUAGUAAAUAGAAGUUAGCUCUAAAUUAUGU